GGAGGUGGCUAAAGCGGUAACGCGCUCCCCUGGCAUGCGCGGGGUGCUGGGUUCGAUCCUCAGCACCA
rnacentral:tRNA from 1 species